rnacentral:tRNA from 1 species
UUGCGUUGUAGCUCAGCGGAUAGAGCGCGCCUAAGCCCGGCAAAUCCGGGCGCAGCAACGGGCGAGGACGCGGGUUCAAAUCCCGCCGGCGCAAGCCA